rnacentral:rRNA from 1 species
AGUGAACGCUGGCGGUAGGCCUAACACAUGCAAGUCGAACGGCAGCACAGUAAGAGCUUGCUCUUACGGGUGGCGAGUGGCGGACGGGUGAGGAAUACAUCGGAAUCUACUUUUUCGUGGGGGAUAACGUAGGGAAACUUACGCUAAUACCGCAUACGACCUACGGGUGAAAGCAGGGGAUCUUCGGACCUUGCGCGAUUGAAUGAGCCGAUGUCGGAUUAGCUAGUUGGCGGGGUAAAGGCCCACCAAGGCGACGAUCCGUAGCUGGUCUGAGAGGAUGAUCAGACACACUGGAACUGAGACGCGGUCCAGACUCCUACGGGAGGCAGCAGUGGGGAAUAUUGGACAAUGGGCGCAAGCCUGAUCCAACCAUACCGCGUGGGUGAAGAAGGCCUUCGGGUUGUAAAGCCCUUUUGUUGGGAAAGAAAAGCAGCAGGUUAAUACCCCGCUGUUCUGGCGGUACCCAAAGAAUAAGCACCGGCUAACUUCGUG